rnacentral:rRNA from 1 species
CGCAGGAACCUCUGUCCUAUCAGGCUGUAGAUGGUGGUGUAGUGGACCACCAUGGCUCACACGGGUAACGGGGAAUCAGGGUUCGAUUCCGGAGAGGGAGCCUGAGACACGGCUACCACCGCUAAGGCGGGCAGCAGGCGCGCAAAUUGCCCAAUGAUAACACCUCUUAUCGAGGCAGCGACGAGACUGAGCAUCACCACCGCCCAAGUGGUGAGUGGUGACUGCAAUGGAUGUUGUACCCAAACCCACCAAUGAGGAUCACCUGGAGGGCAAGUCUGGUGCCAGCAGCCGCGGUAAUUCCAGCUCCAGUGGCGUAUACCAAUGUUGUUGCUGUUAAAGCGCUCGUAGUCGAUGACCUUGGUGUGGGGCUGGUGAGGUUCAGCACGAUUUGUUUUGGGACAUUCGCUUGUGGGCGUGUUCACAUCCUCUUCGGAGGUUUGCGACUCGUCCCACCAAGUCGCGUUUGUCUCCGGACAUUCGGGCGCCCUUGUGCCAGUGCAUUCCCCAUACCAUGCCCAGUUUCACAGCCAACACGCGGGGAUCACAUGUAACUCGUCGGCCGUCGCUCCUCGAAGCUCUUCCUUCUUUUCUAAGUGGGGAGACUUCGGGGUGUCCGUUGUCCAGACAAACACAACUCAUCUGCAAAAAAGGUCGCGUCCAAGGUGUACAUCGAAAGACCGGAGAUGCCAUGACUCCGGGGAGGAGUGGUGACCUCAAACAACGAACGGGUUCCUGUCUUGGUUUUGGUAUUCUCCCAGUGCGCUCAGGGGUUCGCUCAGCCUCAAAACACAAAAGGGCUUGUGUCUCCAGACCCUUGGUGGCUCCGGCCCCCAAGUUCUCUCUGGGCCAUCCCUUCGCGUUCUCCACUCCAGACAGCAGCGCCCGCAGACAUUUCCGCUGGAUCCCGCCCCUGUGCGCGGUAAGCGGAGGAGAGCGGGCACAGGAUCAAAUCCUUGCUGUCGCGGCGCGGCUCUUCCCGCAUUGUCCUUUGGCACCCUGAAUAAACCAGCGAGCUCAAAGCAGGCCAGGGGGUAUGCGGCUCAAUUUGACACAACACGGGGAAGCUCAUUCGGUCAGGACGCUUGCAGGAUUGACAGACUGAAGGCCUUUCUUGAUUCCGCGGAGGGUGGUGCAUGGCCGUUCUUGGUUGGUGGAGUGAUCUGUCUGGUUGAUUCCGUGAACGAGCGAGAUCUCGACCCGUCCCAAUAGCCGCUGAAUUCAAACACAACUCGCUGCCUCCCGGUGUUUGGUCCACACAAGGCCUACGCCGGGUGGUGCGGAGGGUACAUCUAGCCGCCCAAGGUUUCUUUGACUCGUCCAGUGCAAGGGUCCAUCGUAGACGCGAGGGUUAGGAACGAACACCUCUCACAAGAAGGUGAGGGGGGGGGGCGUCCUUCCUUCGGACCCUCGGUGUUCACACCGGGGAGUUGGUCAGUGCAUUACCAACACAACAAAACGCGAACCAAGGUACACUUUGGGUGGCCCCUCCCGCCACCGAGAACAGCAGACAAACCGAAGUCGGGGUGCCGUUCCUUCGCGUCGGGGGUCGCUCUUCGGAGAGUUCCCCGCGCGGGGGUUCGGACACAACAACUGAAGGUCCUUCUGAGGGGAACCCAGGGCACCCUCGCCCUGUGAGGCCCGAGCCAACAGCAGGUCUGUGAUGCUCCUCAAUGUCCGAAGCCGCACGCGCACCACACUGGCGGGGGCAACAAGCCUACCUCACUGCGAAAGAACCAACGGCCCCCUCACAAGAAGAAGGGGUCAAACACAAACGGUUUCGUGUGGGUCCUCUCAAAGGUCCUCGCGUUUCCGCUAGUCCCGUCCUUGCCAGGAAGGGGAAUCAUUCCAAGCCUGAAAGACAAGGGGGCGCGUUCGCUCGCACCCUCCCUCUCGAGGGAGGGGCAAUUGCGGGUGGGCGUUUGCUCUCCUUAGUGCGCCGUGUCAGGGACAGCCGGUUGUGAGAACUGUCAGCCUCGAACAAGGAAUGCCUAGUAUGGGCGGGUCAUCAGCCCGCCCAGAUUUCGUCCCUGCCAUUUGUACACACCGCCCGUCGUUGCUACCGAUGGGGCCUGCCCAGAGCGCUCCCUCACGUGCCGUCCGAACAGUCCUCUCCCCCUCGCGGGGCGAGGCUUUCGCGUCGGUGCCGGCGCUGCUCAAUGUGCAGACACUAGAGGAAGCAAAAGUCGUAACAAGGUUGCUGUAGGUGAACCUGCAGCAGGAUCAUU